rnacentral:rRNA from 1 species
UACGUAGGGGGCAAGCGUUGUCCGGAUUUAUUGGGCGUAAAGAGCGUGUAGGCGGCCUGAAAGGUCAGCUGUGAAAACUCGAGGCUCAACCUCGAGACGUCGGUUGAAACCAUCUGGCUAGAGUCCGGAAGAGGAGUGUGGAAUUCCCGGUGUAGCGGUGAAAUGCGAAGAUAUCGGGAAGAACACCCGUGGCGAAGGCAGCACUCUAGGACGGUACUGACGCUGAGACGCGAAAGCGUGGGGAGCGAACAGG